CUGGAAUGGGAGAUGGGGUUGGGCAUUCCCAGAUCUGUUACCAUCUGGGAAUUGCUGAUGGAUCUGCUCAUUAGAGCCAUGUUGUCCUGGAUUGCAAAGGGACAGCAGUCCUCUUUGCUAUUCUUCCCUUGGGGCAGGGUGAAACAAGCUUUAGCUAGGAUGAAGGAAGUGAGUCAGAAACAGGAGGCAUGUAGCCAGCGCAUCACACAAGUGCAGGAGGAGCUGAUCAAGAUCAAGGAGAGCACGGGGUGGUACAGGCAACGCGCAGAGCACAAGGAAGCAGUCCAAAUGCAGGAGGAGCGGGGCUGUCAGGACCACAAGGCCCGCAUUGAGGUCCUGAUGCAGGAGCACGACAUGCUGGUGAACACCGGAGAGGCUGCUCUGAAGCAGGUAUUCGUGGCAGCUCGUCUUCGCUGCUGGAGCAGUAGCCCCUGCAGGCACGGGUGAAGCUGCAGCGACUCACUGAGCGAAGGCACAGGCACGCAGUCUGGAUGCCAGCUUGUGGGGCAUUGCACAGGAUGGUAUACACACAGACCUCCUUUUCCUCAGGUGACCACGGACUACCAGGCUGCGCUGGCUGAGCUGACCGUGAAUCAUAUUGAGGAGCUGCGCAGCUACCGCACGCCCCCGGAGCCCGUCAUCCGAGUGAUGGAUGUCCUCUGCCGGAUGCUCAAGAGGGAGCCUGGCUGGGAAAGCGCCAGGCAGCUCCUGGGCCAGGARGCCUUCUACCAGGUGAGGGGAGAGGGCCUGUCUCCUCAGCUCGUAGCCUCACCUGCGCCUCUGUCCUGCAGCCUCUGCCRGGCAUCGCCAAACCGUCCGGAGCACAGCAAGAGAAUCUGGCUGUUUCCAUUGUGAGUGCUGUUAUGUGUAGAAACCAAAAUUCCUCUCGGGAGAAUCUGGAGGUUGUUCUCCUGUUACAGGUUUGCCGGGUUUUCCCUGGUGCCUCAAACGGUAGAUCAGGUCCGAGUGCCCUUUGCAGCAGCUCCAAAACUAACUUCCUCAUAGACGUGAGUCCUGUGGUUUCAGGAGUCUCGAGGUUUCCUGUCUGUCUCUGUAGCCCUGCCAGGAAGUGUUAACCACUGUGACUUCUGAAGGGGUCUUCAGACUUAAAGGAAAGCAAUACAAACCAGAGUGAUUGCAACAGUGCAGGAUGCCUCUCCAGAAGAAGGCUGCACUUGUUUGUCACCUGGAGCGUAGCCUGUUGAGUCUUUAGACUUGAGAUGAGCAAUAGCUGCAGAGGCUGCAGAAAAAGGACCAUGGCCCACAUGUUCUGCCGUCCCGAGGUCCAUGCUGUCUGGUUUUUUUUGAGCUCCCUCUCACGACAUUAGUUAGCAAUAAGGAAAUGUGCUGGUUUUCAGAAUGGAUGCUUUCCCACUUUGAACCUCCUUAAAGCAGUUAACUAAGCAGCAAAGGCCCAAGAGCAGCGAAAAUGAGGUACAAGGUAGAA
rnacentral:lncRNA from 1 species